GACGUAGGGUCCAAGCGUUAUCCGGAAUUACUGGGCGUAAAGCGUACGUAGGUGGCGCGUUAAGUGAGAUGCGAAAUCCAGCGGCUCAACCGUUUGGACUGUGUUUCAUACUGGCGUGCUAGAGGAUGGCAGAGGUAAGUGGAAUUGGUAGUGUAGCAGUGAAAUGCGUAGAUAUUACCAGGAACACCAAUGGCGAAGGCAGCUUACUGGGCCACACCUGACACUGAGGUACGAAAGCGUGGGGAGCGAACAGG
rnacentral:rRNA from 1 species